rnacentral:rRNA from 1 species
CUAAGGUCCCAAAAUAAUUGUUAAGUGGAAAAGGAUGUGGGGUUGCACAGACAACUAGGAUGUUAGCUUAGAAGCAGCUAUUCAUUCAAAGAGUGCGUAAUAGCUCACUAGUCGAGUGACCCUGCGCCGAAAAUGUACAGGGGCUAAAACAAUUUACCGAAGCUGUGGAUACCUUUAUAGGUAUGGUAGGAGAGCGUUCUAUGUGUGAUGAAGGUAUACCGUGAGGAGUGCUGGAACGCAUAGAAGUGAGAAUGCCGGUAUGAGUAGCGAAAGACAGGUGAGAAUCCUGUCCACCGUAAGACUAACGUUUCCAGGGGAAGGCUCGUCCGCCCUGGGUUAGUCGGGACCUAAGGAGAGACCGAAAGGUGUAUCCGAUGGACAACAGGUUGAU